rnacentral:rRNA from 1 species
GACGAACGCUGGCGGCGUGCUUAACACAUGCAAGUCGAACGGAAAGGCCCUGCUUUUGUGGGGUGCUCGAGUGGCGAACGGGUGAGUAACACGUGAGUAACCUGCCCUUGACUUUGGGAUAACCUCAGGAAACUGGGGCUAAUACCGGAUAGGAGCUCCUGCUGCAUGGUGGGGGUUGGAAAGUUUCGGCGGUUGGGGAUGGACUCGCGGCUUAUCAGCUUGUUGGUGGGGUAGUGGCUUACCAAAGCUUUGACGGGUAGCCGGCCUGAGAGGGUGACCGGCCACAUUGGGACUGAGAUACGGCCCAGACUCCUACGGGAGGCAGCAGUGGGGAAUAUUGCACAAUGGGCGGAAGCCUGAUGCAGCAACGCCGCGUGCGGGAUGACGGCCUUCGGGUUGUAAACCGCUUUCGCCUGUGACGAAGCGUGAGUGACGGUAAUGGGUAAAGAAGCACCGGCUAACUACGUGCCAGCAGCCGCGGUGAUACGUAGGGUGCGAGCGUUGUCCGGAUUUAUUGGGCGUAAAGGGCUCGUAGGUGGUUGAUCGCGUCGGAAGUGUAAUCUUGGGGCUUAACCCUGAGCGUGCUUUCGAUACGGGUUGACUUGAGGAAGGUAGGGGAGAAUGGAAUUCCUGGUGGAGCGGUGGAAUGCGCAGAUAUCAGGAGGAACACCAGUGGCGAAGGCGGUCCUCUGGGCCUUUCCUGACGCUGAGGAGCGAAAGCGUGGGGAGCGAACAGGCUUAGAUACCCUGGUAGUCCACGCUGUAAACGGUGGGUACUAGGUGUGGGGUCCAUUCCACGGGUUCCGUGCCGUAGCUAACGCUUUAAGUACCCCGCCUGGGGAGUACGGCCGCAAGGCUAAAACUCAAAGGAAUUGACGGGGCCCCGCACAAGCGGCGGAGCAUGCGGAUUAAUUCGAUGCAACGCGUAGAACCUUACCUGGGUUUGACAUGGAUCGGGAGUGCUCAGAGAUGGGUGUGCCUCUUUUGGGGUCGGUUCACAGGUGGUGCAUGGCUGUCGUCAGCUCGUGUCGUGAGAUGUUGGGUUAAGUCCCGCAACGAGCGCAACCCUUGUUCACUGUUGCCAGCACGUUAUGGUGGGGACUCAGUGGAGACCGCCGGGGUCAACUCGGAGGAAGGUGGGGAUGACGUCAAGUCAUCAUGCCCCUUAUGUCCAGGGCUUCACGCAUGCUACAAUGGCUGGUACAGAGAGUGGCGAGCCUGUGAGGGUGAGCGAAUCUCGGAAAGCCGGUCUCAGUUCGGAUUGGGGUCUGCAACUCGACCUCAUGAAGUCGGAGUCGCUAGUAAUCGCAGAUCAGCAACGCUGCGGUGAAUACGUUCCCGGGGCU